UUUAAGGACUGGCUGCCACAAGGGAAGGUUCUCUACCUGGAGGUCCCUCUUUUUUGGAGUAUUUGGACACCUGUACCUGGAGAUCAUUGUGUUUCCUAUUGAAAAAGGAGGGGAAGCAGACAACAGGUCGUCUAUUCCCAGCUGAUGAAGGUUUCAAGAAAUUCCAGAAGUUAAACUCUUACCACUCUCAGCAAGGACUUCUCCAUUACCAAACUAAUUGCAGUCAGAGAAAUGCAACAGUGCCAUCUCUAGGACAGAUGCACCAUCCCCUUCAUUGUAGGAUAUGUCAUGGAAGUUCAGUUAAAGAUGAUAGGAGAUAUGUGUGACUUCACCCUUGGACAUUUACAGAAAAGUAAGAUGUCUGAAAAAAAGAAAAAAAAUGCUCAUCUGAUUUCUUUUCUUCUGGAUUGUCUGGAAGUCUGACGAAGGUGUUCAAAGUUUCAUCUGAGUGAGGCUUCCCAGACCUCUUAGUCUUUGUGAGCCCUUUGCAUUCCCCAGGUGUAUUCAAUCAGUAAGAACAGACCUGCCAUUUUCACAGCAAAUCCUUCCAAGUGUUUCAAAACGCAGCCAUGGAUGACAGCGAAAGGGAAGCUGAGGCUUAUUUUUCACAUUCAUAUACAGCUAAACCUCUGAAAAUAUUGUUGGGCAGGCAUGGUUUUACAUCCUUGCCAUUCCUGGCAUCUCUGUUGUUUAACGGUUGCAGUAGAUUUUCCACACCAGCGUUUUUGACUGUUCAAAUAGAAAAGCAAAAUGCUUGAAUUAAAACACCAAAGUUAUUCCACUGAGUUGAUCAAUUAUGUCCUGAAUUUUUUUCAGUUAUUUACAUCUAAUAUAUUUUAAAUUGCCCUUCCUAUUUGAUAUGCUGUGUCAUCAAACAUAAAUCCAAUUUUUAAAAACAAAAUUCAGACUUCUAUGAUUGUAGCAUUUUAUUAAGUAUAUAUUUCAAAAUAAAUCUAAUUGAGAAACUAAUGCAAGAAGAAAAAUUUAUCAUCAGAAGAAAGAACCCAUAACUCUGUUUUUUUAAUCAUUCCAUGUAUGCAAACUUCUACAUUAAUUCUCUGUUAGGUUCAAAAAAUCUGUUUUCUAUAGCAUGCACAUUAUUUCAGCACUUCUGACACAGGUUUUUGAAAAUUCUGAUGUUAAUUGUUAUGUGUAUGUCCUCAAGUUUGCUCCUGAAAUGUCCCACCAUAUGCUUUAUUUAGAAAUGGUGGAGAUUUCUGAUUCUAGACAGCCACUCCCUCUAAAUUCAAUUACCAUGGUACUAAAGAGUACAUUUGCUGUGGAAGCUGCAAGAAUGAUGGUUACAACAUCCCCUGCACUGCACAUUAAAAAGACUCACUUGCUUGAAAACACAGAUGUUGUGUGCUGG
ensembl:lncRNA